GGUCUAGUGCUGUGUGGAAGACUAGUGAUUUUGUUGUUCUGAUGUACUACGACAACAAGUCACAGCCGGCCUCACAGCGCAGACU
rnacentral:pre_miRNA from 1 species